GCCCAGAGAUUCCAACCCCGAAUAAAUAAACAGAUAAAGUGCACUCACUUUUGCCUUUUUGCUGCUUUCAUUAUUCUGAUAAAAUACAACAAACUGCUUGUUUAAUUUAAAACAAAUUAAAGGAAAUCAUUCCAUACAUUAUGUCAUUAAACACUGAAUCAAAUCUAAAAGGCACCACUGAAAAAAGAAUGUUAAAGUGCAGUUUUCUACUGAUAUUUCUUUCUUCUUCCCCGAGUGUCUUUCAUGAUAUGUCGCAGCGUUAGCAAUCUACAAGUGUUACUACUUUCCACUAAACUGGAGAAAACAAGGACGGAAAACUGGUUGUACACUUAUUUAUGAUAUGUGAGUAUAAUGGAGCAAUAUGAAGUAGAUGUGUUAUGGAAAAUGUAUCCUAUAUGUUUGUUUUAUCCCACAGCCCUACAUUUGCUAUGGGUUGUGUCCUGUCAGAUCCAUGAAGUGUGUAGGUUUGACAUUUGUCAAGUAGUCUUAAACACUGAACUUUGUGUAAUUUUUACGAAACAGAAAUAAAAUUGUAAUGAGAAU